rnacentral:rRNA from 1 species
ACAUCGCCUCUUGAAAAAAUAUAAGAGGUCCAGCCUGCCCAGUGACCUAGUUCAACGGCCGCGGUAUCCUAACCGUGCGAAGGUAGCGUAAUCACUUGUUCUUUAAAUGAGGACUAGUAUGAAUGGCAUCACGAGGGUUAAACUGUCUCCUUUUUCUAAUCAGUGAAACUAAUCUCCCCGUGAAGAAGCGGGGAUUAUUUUAUAAGACGAGAAGACCCUAUGGAGCUUAAAACAAACCUACAAUUGCUUUAAUAUGCUACCCUCCCGAGGACUCACAUAAAUUAUAGCAUAACUGAUAAUUAGUUUUCGAUUGGGGUGAUCAUGGAGAAAAAACCAACCUCCACGACGACAAGGGGAUACCCCUGAGCCAAAAGCCACAGCUUUCAGCACUAAAAAAUUAACGCACCUUGACCCAAUUAUUUGAGCAACGAACC